CGGAUCCCUUAUAUUUUUUGAACGCUUUCUUCCUUCCUUGACACAGUUCCAUCUUCUUUUCCAAAACCCUAGAGAGCCCUUUGUCUCCAUUUCCAUUCUCCAACUCCAUUCGGGUUCAAAGCAUUUCCAUUCUCCACUUCCUGGUGGAUGAUUGGGGGUUUACAUUCUACAUAGAGAUUCUUUCCUCCUCAAAUGUUAGUACCUUUCUUCUUCAUCGGCAGCUCACACAGAUACAUAGAAGGAAGAUUAGGUUCUGAAAAGAAACACUGAUUGCGUUUACUUUCUUGCUUCACCCUUAACUUGCAAAAAGGCUCCUAGCCUUAUCAAGCAGAUUCAUUUCAAGAGGUUACAAGUUUCCUGAUAUCAACUCGAAUAAACAGCUUGGUGGCAUAGUCUUUCAGAUGUUCACAUUCAUGGUGCCUUAUAGUAGCGAUUACGACGAUGGUGUUCGUCUUAUGCAUUGCCACUUCAAGUGCAUACGACCAGGGAGCUUAAAAUGGCAUUUUUUAGUCGAGAAUGGAUACAAAUGCAUCAACUUCUUGAGAUUGGGGUUGGAGUUGGUCUUCAUGUUCGGACAUACCAAUCAACCACCCAAACUUUUGAAGAUGGUUUUAGUACUUCCUGUGGGUACGUAAAUAUCAUUGAAAACUACGCGUUUAAUCAAGCAUUAGAAUCCGAAAAAUGGCUACAUUCUCAACUUCUCAUCAAUGGCUUAGCUCUUGCCACCCACAUUACGUCAAAGCUCAUAGAUUUCUACAACAAAUGUUGUCAAAUACUUGAUGCACGCAAGGUGUUCGAUGAAAUUCCACAAAGAAACACUCCUGGUUUGUUUACCACCUUAUUACUAAAUCGUGUACCUGCUUUCCCUUCUCAUCCUCCAAAGCCCUAAUGGUGAUCUUAACAAUACCUUCCUCAAUAAAUCAACAUUACCUAUGACAACUGAGAGACACGAGGUGUUCGUCUUAUGCAUUGCCACUUCAAGUGCAUACGACCAGGGAGCUUAAAAUGGCAUUUUUUAGUCGAGAAUGGAUACAAAUGCAUCAACUUCUUGAGAUUGGGGUUGGAGUUGGUCUUCAUGUUCGGACAUACCAAUCAACCACCCAAACUUUUGAAGAUGGUUUUAGUACUUCCUGUGGGUACGUAAAUAUCAUUGAAAACUACGCGUUUAAUCAAGCAUUAGAAUCCGAAAAAUGGCUACAUUCUCAACUUCUCAUCAAUGGCUUAGCUCUUGCCACCCACAUUACGUCAAAGCUCAUAGAUUUCUACAACAAAUGUUGUCAAAUACUUGAUGCACGCAAGGUGUUCGAUGAAAUUCCACAAAGAAACACUCCUGGUUUGUUUACCACCUUAUUACUAAAUCGUGUACCUGCUUUCCCUUCUCAUCCUCCAAAGCCCUAAUGGUGAUCUUAACAAUACCUUCCUCAAUAAAUCAACAUUACCUAUGACAACUGAGAGACACGAGGUGAGCCAUUUAUCACUUUACAUCCUUCUGAUCAUAAUUCUUGCAUGUUUUGUUUCUAUUUAGAUCUACAAGUAACGACUAACUUCUAUUGGAUUGGAAUUUGAUACGAUGGUUCUUCUGAAUUCUUUCAACCUUUGGAUUUCGAAUGGGUUUGUGAUAAGAUGUUGAGCGGCGAAUGACGGUGGAUGGUUUAAAUUGUACAUCAGGGGCUGUUAUAGAUCGUUUCAUUUCAUGGCCAAACUCAUUCAAUACGAACAGAUCAAAACUCUGAGCACAUGAAUGCUUUGGAAUGGAAUUCACGGGUGCCUCAACUAAGUCUUGCCCAAGUAGUUCAGCUCAGAGUGGUCAGUGGCCCAGUUUCGUUUGGUUGAAGGUUCACAAUACAUUGUUGCGUUUGGCCACCAGAAGAAUACAGUUGUUAUUCUUGACAUGCAUGGAAGUUUUUAUAGAUGCCAAUUUGAUCCUACAACUGGUGGGGAGAUGACGCAACUGGAAUAUCGUAAUUUUGUGAAGCCUGAAGACUCUCUCUAAGCACUUGAAAAAACAUGAACAGAAGUAUGUUAUAUAUUCAUGGGCUGCCUGCAUAAAUGUGCUUCCUUAAAGGUUCAAAAUCUCAUUGGUGUUUGUUUUCUUUGAGUGGAGAAGCUGCACGCGGGCUAUUAUAUCUACUAACAAAGGGCAGCCCUUUGUUGAUAAUUGGUACAAAAAACUUUUAUGGUAACUUUUGUGUUCAUGCAAAAUUAUUUUUUUGCAGAGGACAACAUCAGCGAGACAAAGAGGUUUCGAUACCCGAAUUAAGAUAAUCGGCAAAAAAGAAACUCUUUCUGAUCACAACAAGCAUACAUCAGUUGUUCAUAUUUGUAUUUACCCUCAUAUUGAUGUUUUUUUGUUCUUACUAAUCUUAUUUUGAUUUUAUUGGUGUCUUUUGCUUAUAUUAGGAUUCUGGCGAACUGAUUCGAGGUGUGUAUGUUAUCUCAGUAGAUCAACAUUACCUAUGACAACUGAGAGACACGAGGUGAGCCAUGGUCCCGUGGAUUUCCUUCCAAGAAGUGUGCUGCUCACCACAGAGAAAAAGUACUCAGUUUUUGGUUCCAUUUUGACAAUUGGAGCAAUGGUAGGAGCAUUCGUGCAUGGUAAAAUAGUAGAUCAACUUGGGCGGAGAAUGGUUUCUUGGUUGCUUGAUGUUGGACCACUAUUGAUUGGAUAUGGAAUUGAGGUACCAGUUUACAUAGCAGAACACCUCAAAACCUUCGCGGAGCUUUGACCAUUGUUAAUCAGCUGAUGAUAUGUGUUGGAGUAUCUGUAAUGUGGUUUAUUGGAACAUUCAUUCCUUGGCGCACCCUAGCUCUAAUUGGUAAAGUUGUUCAAAUUUCUACCAAUCUUGAAGAUAUACCAAUUUCAUAAUUUGUGGAGUUGGCAAAGUGGGCGGGCUACAGGUCAUUUGGGAGUGGAUAUUGGAUAUUGAUCGAUAAACUACAUUUUCUUCAUAGUGAGACAAACAUGUAUUCUGCUCUUUUAGUUUUGCUUGAAUCAUUUGAUAAUUGAGGUAAGUCAUUUCAUUAUUUUAUUUCAGUCGUUUGGAUGCAAGAUAACACAUGUUUUGGUAAGGAGAUAUUAUUCAGGGAUGAGCUCGGUACCAACUGGUACAGGUACCAAAAAUACUCGGUACGGUACGGUUCGGUACCGGCACAGACCAGUAUUUGAUGGUCAAAAUCGGUAAAUACCUGUAUCAAACUGGUACCGAAAACGCCCAUUGUCAGUACCGAAAACAUUUUGUUUCGGGAAAUUCGGUACCAGUAAGAGCAGUUGAAAAGGUUCACUAAAAGCUAUGAAGGUUGUUUACUAGAAUCUCCUGAUUCUUUUGAUGCAGAACACGGUGGAUGCAACAAUGAAGUGUAUUCUUAAUCAAGCGCAGCAAAAGCUUCUGGUAUUUGAGAAAUUCGAACAGUUGAGCAACAAAGUGAUGGAACAUGGUGAAUUUAGGAAAAACCAUUGUUUUCAUCAUUCAUCAACCAAGCGUAGACAUAUUUGAAGCUUUUGAUGAGUUUUGUAUUGUUUUUGAUGAAAAGAGGUGGAUAAGAGCUAUAAGUUGGAUCCGUUGAAUUAAUCAAAUACUUCAAGGUUUUCUGAAUGAUUAUCAUUACUGAUAUAUUAGAAGGUGUCCUAAUGAUCUGGUGCACUACAACUUCUAAAGUGUUCUUUUGUAUAAUCAAUACUUCAUGGUGGAAACCCAGUCAAUUGAAUCUUUGGUUUCCCAACACGCAAUAUCUGGUGACUCGGCCUUUUCUUUCACAAAGGUAAUUUUCAAAUUAGUUUUUGGUUCUUUCUUAUUGUGUGAGAUGCAAAUAGAAGGCGUAAAGAAUGAAGAUAACUUCUGGAAGUGGUGCAUGCAUUGUUAUACUUUAUAACUCUAUAAUUAGUACUUAAAAAUUGGUUAUCUAAAAAAGGAUGUUGAUGGAUAUGAGAUGCGAAUCAGGUUGUAAAUUGACACGAAUAGUAGAUGAGGGAGUUUCAUGAAUAUAGAGGAAGUGAUGCCAUAGAGGUUGUUGGUAGAACAAUAUAGCUUUAAGAAGUUGUAAAAUUGCCCGAGCCAUAGCCUUGAAUUGAGUUGCAUGAGUAUAGAGGAAGUGAUGCCAUAGAGGUAAUAUACAAGUAUUGAUCUUGAUAUGUUCAUGUAACAUGUUGCAUCACAUCUUUUACCAAAACUCCUUUUGACCCGCGCUGACAUGUCCAAGAAAAGAGAAUACAAAAACUAUUUUGCAGCCAACCUGUACACUUUUGAACCAUUUUAAAUUGACCCGUUUUGACAUGCGCUAAAUGUGUUCAAGACUAGAGUUACAAAGGUUACUGCCUUGAUGUUUACUCAGACCGUACGAGCCUGUACUGAUAAGGUUGGUGGAGACUGUUUGACCUUUGACCAGCCUGCCUUGCAUGCCCCUCUUGGCCAGAACAAGGUAUGCUAUCUAUUCCUAAUUUUUGGAUUAUAUAUGUUUGUGUAGGGGUAGUUUGGACCUUAUGUGUGAAGGGGCAAUUUGGUUAUUUAUUAUGUUUGUUGUUAGGAGGUGUAUGUAUGAUUAUUUGUUGUUAUGAAUUUGCAUACCCCAUGAAGUUUUUUAAGAGAUAUAAUAGAUACAAAUUUAUACAUAUAGUAACACUACAAACUUCUAACAACAAAAUAUAAUAAAUGACAAAAGUGCCCUUGCACACAUAAGGUCCAAACUAUCUCUACAUGACUGACUAAUAAAGAGCAAUGACAAUUCAACAAACCUCGAAAUAUUCUAAAAUACGUAUUGAGUGAACUAACCGGGCAGCCUCCCAUCCAAAUGCCGAGUUUCAAGCUACAUUUUGUAAACCACAUGUGUAGUCUGUUUUGAACCUGGAUUGCAUUUCUUUUAGUUCUCUAUAUAAACAAAUUAUCCCUGAAUAAAAAAAAUAUUGAUCAAAUAGUUUUUGCGGGUGAGACCAAUUCGACCCAUACUAAAAUUGAUCAGUUUUUAUAAAAAUAUAAAAACCGGUUUUGACCUGUUACCUAACGUGCGAGAACCGCCCACCCUUCCACAGAACCACCCAGCCUAUCACUUGUAGGUAGAUAUUUAUUUUCUUUCCAUUAAAUAUUGUGUUAUAAGUAUUAACCAUGGUGCUAUUUUAUAUUAUAGUUUUACUAAAGCAACAAGGCGUUGGGCCGAAAGGAAAAGAGAAAAAUACUCCUGUUGCUAAGGAAGUUUUAGCAAAUGGAAAAUUUGAUGUUAUAAUCACAUACUUAUACCAAUAUUUCUUGGAUUAUCUGUAUAUUAUUUACAUUUUUAAACAUUUUGGGGUUUAGGUAAUGGGAUGCUAAUAUAUUAACUAAUUGGAUUAUUAAGGACUUUUUUCUAACUAUUUCUUUUGGAGUUGUUUUUACUUUAAUUUUGUUUGCCAUCAUAUCGCUCGGUAUGUUUUAUGCUUCCAAUUAAACAUCACAUGUUUGUAUGUACAAAGAUGCAUCUUGAGAUUGCCAAACCCUUCCGACCAAGCCUGGUCCUUGGCCUUUUCGAUACCUGGCCUACAUGUAUGGCCUGGCUAUGACCCGUUCGGAUCAAGUAUUGGUUUAAAACCCAGUUCGGGAUCCAGUAUGUAUUUCAUGAAGCAACAUGUUUCUCAACUUACGAGUUAUCAUGGUGUGGUUUUAUCAGUUCUUUUGAUUUCAGUUCGGUUAGUCAGUUGUUCUUGGAAUAAUGCGCAUAUUAAUAAAGAUCAUCAUGGUGUGUUAGAUAUGGCACCAAGCGCUUCCUAUAAUUUAAACCCUGUGUUGAUAUUCAAAGUGUGAAAAUGAAUGUUUGGUUUAAAUGUUCAUGCUUUCUAUCAUUCGGAUUGUUGCUUUAGGGUUUCGGUUAUAUGGAUUGAUUAUAAACAAUAUUCUUGGGGAUUAAUAUGAUUAAUAUGAUGAGAUUCAAUGAGAAUGCAGGCAAUGAAGAUGCUAUAAAAAGAUGUUACAAAUGUAAAAAGGUUGGGCAUCUGGAUAAAAAUUGACGAGAAGACGCAAAUGUAAUUGCGCAGCUUAAUGAAGCCGAGAGGAUCGCAAUGGAAGAAGAUUAUAUAAAAGAGAUUGGUGAAGAUGAGAAAGAGAAAUUGAAUGAUGUGGAUUAUCUGACAGGGGUUCCUUUACCAAACGACAUUCUUUUGUAUGCGGUGCAUGUUUGUGCUCCUUAUGCUGCUGUACAAUCAUAUAAAUAUCGGGUGAAGAUAAUCCCUGGAACAACAAAGAAAGGAAAAAGCUGCAAAAAUGGCGAUGAAUUAUUUUGGUCACGUGCCAGAAAGCAAGCCAAUGAGAGAAAGAGUUGAUGAAGGCAUGUACAGACCUAGAGUUGAUGGCUGCGAUUAUUGGAAACGUCAAGAUAUCUGCAGCAGGACUGACAGGAAAGUGAUGUGUUUUGGUAUCACAUAUGGGUUUUGUUCGGUUCGGUUAUGGGUCGGUUUUGGCUCAAGUCGAACCAAAAUUGGUUUAUCGGUUUUAGUAAAGCGAUGUAUUUCGCUUUUCAGUUUUACGUAUGGGUCGUUUUCGGUUUUGCAACGGGUUUGAAAUGUUUAGCCUAAAAGAACUUUGACCCUAAAUGAUGAAAUUAGUCAAAACUAUUAGCCAAACCUUUUGAUAUCCAGUAGUAAAGUAAUAACUUUGUUCAUAAAACUUUUGGUCCAAAAUAAUGAAUUUGGACCACAAUAACAAACAUUUAAACAAGAAAGAUCGGUUCGGUUUAGUUUGUUUUGAUUUGAUUUUGGAAUGAGCUAUAACCGAACUGUCGAUUUUUAUGUUUGGAUUAGUUUUAAGUUUGUGAUACUUAAAGAUAGAUGCUGUUGUGGGUGGUUUUCUCACGUUUAUACUUUCCACAACAUGACCAAAAAUUUUCCUCUAAAGUUUAAAAACUAGAAAAACCACUCCCAAUUAAUUUAAAUUUGGAGUGGAUCUUUUCUUUCAAUUUUUUACAUGUUAAUUAAUUGUAUUUAUCUGAUAAUUUGCAGGUGUUGAUAUUCAAAGUGUGAAAAUAAAUGUUUGGUUUAAAAGUCCAUACUUUCGAAAACUGCUGGACAUUUUAGUCAAUUAAAAAAUAUUACUCACUUUUUACAUUUUACCAAAUAUCGAUAAUUGUAUUUGGGGUGCUCUCAUGUCAAUAUUUUGCGAGACAUAGACUUAUGCUUUGUGAAGCUUUGUUCGUCACGUGUUAUU